GCUGGCGGCAGGCCUAACCAUGCAAGUCGAGCGGACACGACACUAUUGAAUCUUCGGAUGAUUUAAUGGGCGUCGAGCGGCGGACGGGUGAGUAAUGCCUAGGAAAUUGCCUUGAUGUGGGGGAUAACCAUUGGAAACGAUGGCUAAUACCGCAUAAUGCCUACGGGCCAAAGAGGGGGAUCUUCGGACCUCUCGCGUCAAGAUAUGCCUAGGUGGGAUUAGCUAGUUGGUGAGGUAAUGGCUCACCAAGGCGACGAUCCCUAGCUGGUCUGAGAGGAUGAUCAGCCACACUGGAACUGAGACACGGUCCAGACUCCUACGGGAGGCAGCAGUGGGGAAUAUUGCACAAUGGGCGAAAGCCUGAUGCAGCCAUGCCGCGUGUAUGAAGAAGGCCUUCGGGUUGUAAAGUACUUUCAGUUGUGAGGAAGGGGGUAGUGUUAAUAGCGCUAUCUCUUGACGUUAGCAACAGAAGAAGCACCGGCUAACUCCGUGCCAGCAGCCGCGGUAAUACGGAGGGUGCGAGCGUUAAUCGGAAUUACUGGGCGUAAAGCGCAUGCAGGUGGUUCAUUAAGUCAGAUGUGAAAGCCCGGGGCUCAACCUCGGAACUGCAUUUGAAACUGGUGAACUAGAGUGCUGUAGAGGGGGGUA
rnacentral:rRNA from 1 species